CCUACGGGAGGCAGCAGUGGGGAAUAUUGGACAAUGGGCGAAAGCCUGAUCCAGCCAUGCCGCGUGUGUGAAGAAGGCCUUCGGGUUGUAAAGCACUUUCAGUGGGGAAGAAAGCCUUGGGGCUAAUACCCUCGAGGAAGGACAUCACCCACAGAAGAAGCACCGGCUAACUCCGUGCCAGCAGCCGCGGUAAUACGGAGGGUGCGAGCGGUUAAUCGGAAUUACUGGGCGUAAAGCGCGCGUAGGCGGUCUGAUAAGCCGGUUGUGAAAGCCCCGGGCUCAACCUGGGAACGGCAUCCGGAACUGUCAGGCUAGAGUGCAGGAGAGGAAGGUAGAAUUCCCGGUGUAGCGGUGAAAUGCGUAGAGAUCGGGAGGAAUACCAGUGGCGAAGGCGGCCUUCUGGACUGACACUGACGCUGAGGUGCGAAAGCGUGGGUAGCAAACAGGAUUAGAUACCCGUGUAGUC
rnacentral:rRNA from 1 species